UACGUAGGGGGCAAGCGUUGUCCGGAUUUAUUGGGCGUAAAGGGCGUGUAGGCGGCCUGGUAGGUCAGCUGUGAAAACUCGAGGCUCAACCUCGAGACGCCGGUUGAAACCAUCAGGCUAGAGUCCGGAAGAGGAGAGUGGAAUUCCCGGUGUAGCGGUGAAAUGCGCAGAUAUCGGGAAGAACACCCGUGGCUAAGGCGGCUCUCUAGUACGGUACUGACGCUGAGACGCGAAAGCGUGGGGAGCGAACAGG
rnacentral:rRNA from 1 species